GGAGCAUAUCGUGACAGAAGCUGACCUCAACCCACAGUUUGUGCAGGUGCAAACGCUGACAAAAGGAUCCGUAUUUGGUCUAGCAAAUAUUGUUUUUGACGACCAGCCCAGUCUCUGUAUCGUCAGCAAUGGUGCUGAAUGUAUCAUGAUCAACAAGAAAUUUUACCUGGAGCAUUGCCCGGAUGCAUUAAUGCGGCGCCUCAGAACGACGGUUUCUCCCUUCCCGUCUGACGACGAAAUGCAGAAAAACCUCAAGGAGCGCGUCAACUGGGACGUAUACCGGCAAGCCAGGCUAAACCACGUCGUCUUCGAUAUACAGCAGCUAAAAAUGAGAUUCAACUAUGACGCUUUCAUUUCGUGGUGACAGGACUACACAUUUUGAAUUUUACACUCAUGAUGGUCUUUGCAAUUUGUUCAAAAUCUCAAUAGUUGUCCAGUUGUGGAGUACUAAUUUAUACAUAGGACUAGGGCUUUUGAUUAGAAUACUCAUUUUGGCAAUCUUCUUUAUUGAAUAUAAAAGUCCUAUAACGGUUUAUUUUUCAUAUUUACGAUAAAAACCAUUUGUGGCUCAAAUGCAAAAUCUAAAUUGACCAACAAACUUCAUCAAGAGCAAUGUACAUACAUGACAUACAUGUACUGCAUGACGAAAACGUUUUUUAUGCUGGGGUGCGAAGACCAAGAUCUGUCAAGACAAAAAGGAAGCGGUUCGAUUUUUUUUACCGUCCUAAUUUCUUAGAAAUGAUGCCAUAUUUGUUAGCGUCAUCUUCGUGUAUCUGCGCAUUGCGAGGAGCUCAUGAUCUCUUAGACAUUGUCGGAUACAGGGAUAUAUACAGGGAGCCUAAGGCAAACCACCUUACCCCUUCACUUCUUCUUGAUACCCUGACUCCGCAAGUGUAACAACUUUUGAUCAGAUAUCCAUUACAUGUACCUUUACAG